rnacentral:rRNA from 3 species
GAUGAACGCUGGCGGUAUGCUUAACACAUGCAAGUCGAACGGGCUCUUCGGAGCUAGUGGCGGACGGGUGAGUAACGCGUGAGAAUCUGGCUUCAGGUCGGGGACAACCACUGGAAACGGUGGCUAAUACCGGAUGUGCCGCAAGGUAAAAGGCUUGCCGCCUGAAGAUGAGCUCGCGUCUGAUUAGCUAGUAGGUGGGGUAAAAGCCUACCUAGGCGACGAUCAGUAGCUGGUCUGAGAGGAUGAUCAGCCACACUGGGACUGAGACACGGCCCAGACUCCUACGGGAGGCAGCAGUGGGGAAUUUUCCGCAAUGGGCGAAAGCCUGACGGAGCAAUACCGCGUGAGGGAGGAAGGCUCUUGGGUUGUAAACCUCUUUUCUCAGGGAAGAACACAAUGACGGUACCUGAGGAAUAAGCAUCGGCUAACUCCGUGCCAGCAGCCGCGGUAAUACGGAGGAUGCAAGCGUUAUCCGGAAUGAUUGGGCGUAAAGCGUCCGCAGGUGGCUAUGUAAGUCUGCUGUUAAAGAGUGAGGCUCAACCUCAUAAGAGCAGUGGAAACUACAUGGCUAGAGUGCGUUCGGGGUAGAGGGAAUUCCUGGUGUAGCGGUGAAAUGCGUAGAUAUCAGGAAGAACACCGGUGGCGAAAGCGCUCUGCUAGGCCGCAACUGACACUGAGGGACGAAAGCUAGGGGAGCGAAUGGGAUUAGAUACCCCAGUAGUCCUAGCCGUAAACGAUGGAUACUAGGCGUGGCUUGUAUCGACCCGAGCCGUGCCGUAGCUAACGCGUUAAGUAUCCCGCCUGGGGAGUACGCACGCAAGUGUGAAACUCAAAGGAAUUGACGGGGGCCCGCACAAGCGGUGGAGUAUGUGGUUUAAUUCGAUGCAACGCGAAGAACCUUACCAAGACUUGACAUGUCGCGAAUUCCUCUGAAAGGAGGAAGUGCCUUCGGGAGCGCGAACACAGGUGGUGCAUGGCUGUCGUCAGCUCGUGUCGUAAGAUGUUGGGUUAAGUCCCGCAACGAGCGCAACCCUCGUUUUUAGUUGCCAGCACUUCGGGUGGGCACUCUAGAGAGACUGCCGGUGACAAACCGGAGGAAGGUGGGGAUGACGUCAAGUCAGCAUGCCCCUUACGUCUUGGGCUACACACGUACUACAAUGCUACGGACAAAGGGCAGCAAGCUAGCGAUAGCAAGCAAAUCUCAUAAACCGUAGCUCAGUUCAGAUCGCAGGCUGCAACUCGCCUGCGUGAAGGAGGAAUCGCUAGUAAUUGCAGGUCAGCAUACUGCAGUGAAUUCGUUCCCGGGCCUUGUACACACCGCCCGUCACACCAUGGAAGCUGGUCACGCCCGAAGUCAUUACUCCAACUUUUCGGAGAGGAGGAUGCCUAAGGCAGGACUGGUGACUGGGGUGAA